UACGGAGGGUGCGAGCGUUGCUCGGAAUCACUGGGCGUAAAGGGUGCGUAGGCGGGUCUUUAAGUCAGGGGGGAAAUCCUGGAGCUCAACUCCAGAACUGCCUUUGAUACUGAGGAUCUUGAGUUCGGGAGAGGUGAGUGGAACUGCGAGUGUAGAGGUGAAAUUCGUAGAUAUUCGCAAGAACACCAGUGGCGAAGGCGGCUCACUGGCCCGAUACUGACGCUGAGGCACGAAAGCGUGGGGAGCAAACAGG
rnacentral:rRNA from 1 species